AGCGAACGCUGGCGGCAGGCCUAACACAUGCAAGUCGAACGAAGUCUUCGGACUUAGUGGCGGACGGGUGAGUAACACGUGGGAACGUGCCUUUAGGUUCGGAAUAACUCAGGGAAACUUGUGCUAAUACCGAAUGUGCCCUUCGGGGGAAAGAUUUAUCGCCUUUAGAGCGGCCCGCGUCUGAUUAGCUAGUUGGUGAGGUAAAGGCUCACCAAGGCGACGAUCAGUAGCUGGUCUGAGAGGAUGAUCAGCCACAUUGGGUCUGAGACACGGCCCAAACUCCUACGGGAGGCAGCAGUGGGGAAUCUUGCGCAAUGGGCGAAAGCCUGACGCAGCCGUGCCGCGUGAAUGAUGAAGGUCUUAGGAUUGUAAAAUUCUUUCACCGGGGACGAUAAUGACGGUACCCGGAGAAGAAGCCCCGGCUAACUUCGUGCCAGCCGCCGCAGUAAAAC
rnacentral:rRNA from 1 species